rnacentral:lncRNA from 1 species
CCUUGAGCACAGGCCCAGGGAUUUUGUGGUGAAAACAGCAACCAUAACAGCUGAGGCAGGUGCUAGGAGGCUGUGCCCUCAUCCCCUAGGCCCACCUGAUGCUACCUGCAGUUGCUGUGGAAAGUUCCAGAACACUGAUGACUUCCCAUCCGGGGCACCCGCUCUCUCAGAGGGGGUUACCCAGAUACUCCAAGACCAAGUGACUUGCCCAAGGUCACAAACCAGGCUCCCAGCCCAGAUGGAGUCUGAUUUCAGAGCUGGCUUUCACUAUGACUUUGUCCCAGGAUGGGCUGGAGAGUCAACAAUAGGCCGGGGUUGUUUCAUCUUCCUGAAUAAGCAAGCAGGUUAUUCUGAGAGCUGAUUGACAUAUGCAUGGGCAGAUGUUUUAUAAACUGCAUUCUCUACAAACUGAAGGGGCAAAUGUGAUGGAUUCCAAGGCUCCACAAGACAUUAUCAUGGUCAAUGUCCAGCAGACCAGAUAUGGGGUGAUCAAUUGUUUGAAGGUAAAAGUUGUCAAGAAUAACUUUAGACUUUGCUGGGAAUGCAAUAUCUUCUGACAAGGAGGAGUUGGCUGGAACAGCCUGGGCUCUGUACCUGUCCCUCAGAUGUCCUUUGGUGCUUUAGCCCAGUGACUCAUCGAUCUCCCAGAUUGAAGUUUGCUGGGAGAUUCCAACUGACCUGGAAGUUGCUGGAUUGAUGGGAAGAGAUCCUUCUAAUCUUAGAAGAAUUCUUGGAAUGGCUCAGAAAUAGAAACUCAAGAAGCAGAGGGAUUUAAUUACACAGGAGCUGGGACUUCUAGAUUAUGACAUUUAUAUGGUUUGGGUCUGUGUCCCCACCCAAAUCACAUGUCAAAUUAUAAUCCCCAAUGUUGGCGGUGGAGCCUGGUGGGAGGUGAUUGGAUCAUGUGGGUGGAUUUUCUUUUUGGUGCUGUUCUCAUGAUAGUGAGUGAAUUAUCAUAAGGUCAGGUUGUUUAAAAGUGUUUGGCACCUUCCCACUUUCUCUCUUCCUUCUAUUCUAGCCAUGGUUGAAGACAUGCCUGUUUCCCCUUCGCCAUCUGCCAUGACUGUAAGCUUCCUGAGGCCUUCCCAGUCAUGCUUCCUGUAUAGCCUGUGGAAACAUGCGCCAAUUAAAACCUCUUUUCUUUAUAAAUUACCUAGUCUCAGGUAUUUCUUUAUAGCAAUGCAAGAAUGGACAAAUACAGACAUCUUACGGAAAAAAGUUUAUCAAGUGGAAAGCUCUAUUGUGUACCCUCCUUGAAAAUAGAUGACCUGUUUUCUCAUCUUUCUCUUAGCGUGCUGUGGUCUUCACAUGCAGAAAGAGGAACAAGUUAAGUAGUGGUUGUCUUUGAAUAUUUUCUUAUUGAAUGGUUUCUGGCCUGGCUCAGUCCCCUUAACAUGUCAUCCUAAAGAAAUAACGAAAUAUCUUUUCCUUACAAGGCUUUCUAAAGUAUGACUUAUAAGUCAGAAACCACAAGAGAAAAUAUUAAUAAGUCCAAUAAUGUUAAAAUUGACUUAGCUAAAUGCAUCAUAAACAAGAUAAAAAAAACAUCAAACUGGAAAGAUGUUUGCAGGCUAUGUCACAGAGGAACGGAUGGUUUCUCUAAUAUAUAAAAAGUUCCAACAAACUGAUAAGAAAAGUGGACAAAGAAUACAAAAAGUCCAUAGAAAAGGAAGUAAAACUGCUUCUUAAGCAUAUGAAAAUUUACUUAGUCUCACGAGUAAGAAACAUAAAUUUUAAAAAACAUGGAGAUAGGCUGGGUGCAAUGGCCCACGCCUGUAAUCCCAGCACUUUGGGAGGCUGCUGCAGGUGGAUCAUUUGAGGUCAGUUUGAAAUCAGACUGGCUAACAUGAUGAAACCCUAUCUCUACUAAAAAUACAAAAAUUAACCAGGCAUGGUGGCAGGUGCCUGUAAUCCCAGCUACUAGGGAGGCAGAGGCAGGAGAAUUGCUUGAAUCUGGGAGGCAGAGGUUGAAGUGAGCCAAGAUUGUGCCACUGUACUCCAGCCUGGGCAACAGAGCAAGACUCCCUCUCAAAAAAAAACCACAAAAAAACAAAAACAAAAAAAGCCAGAAAACCCCCGCAAAACAUGGAGAUAAUCUUUUUCGUUUUUUCUGGGUGGCAAAGAUUAAAAAGUUAGAAAAUGCCAAGAUAGCGAGAGGUGUGUAUGAGUGUGAUAUUGGUGGUAGCGUAAAUUGCUAUAACUCUCUUGGGGGGGAAUUUGGCAAUAUCUUACCAAUAUCCUGCCAAUAUCUUUCUUACUCAUAAGUCAAAACUGUGCUUGUUAAAUCCACAAAUGAUAAUGUUUUUCCAUGUAUAUUGAAGUUUCUUAAGUAGUGUUUUAUAGAAUAAGUUUUCCUAAUACAUCAUUGAAGAGGUUUUCAGGAGCAUAGUUUGAAAAAUACUGACAGGUAUAAUGUAGGAAGUAGUUAGAAUAUAUCUGGGAGCUACCAACACCAUUCAGGUCUAGCUAUAGUGAUGUUUGCUGCCCCUCUUAGGAAGGGAAACCUUUCACAAACCUCCACCUUCAUUUUCUCCUCUUGCAAAUGCUUUUUGGUCAGAAGCAUAAAUGCCAGAGCUGCAAAAGUGAUUCAAAACCCAAGAGAACUCCCUGGGGAUAGUCUGUUCUCUCUGUAGCUGGGACAAGGAGAUGGCAGGCCCUUCUCUUCCCAAGAACCUCCCUGAUGUGCAACGAGAGGCCACAGACUUAUCUUGCAGCAUUAAUUAGGAGAGAUGCAACAUUUGGGGACAAUCUGUUCAAGAAACCCUGCACAGGACACGUUUUCAUCCUGGGCUCUGGGGCUGAUAUGUGCCAGUGGCCUAACUCCACACACCUCGAUGGAAUUCUCUGGCAGAACCGCUCCAAAAUGUGUGGAAAAAUCUGUUUUUCUGGAUUCUCCUUCUUUGCUUCAAG